rnacentral:lncRNA from 1 species
UCCUGGAUUCUUUUCAAAUCAAAGUGAUCCGAAAAGAUUUUUUCAGAAUUAUCACUAGGGCAUGGCUCUAGAUACGGUGCAAUAAUGAUUUUGUCAGCUGUCAGCCAUUUUCAACAGACUGUCAUAGUGAGUGGGACACACGGCAAGUGUAGGUCAGCCAAAGGAGAUCCGCGAUCAUAACUGCUCCAGGCCCUGUUGCCUAUUUAAACACGUCCGCCUCCUUCAGGUGUUUCACUUUGCCUGAG